UACGUAGGGUGCAAGCGUUAAUCGGCAUUACUGGGCGUAAAGCGUGCGCAGGCGGUUUCGUAAGUCUGUCGUGAAAUCCCCGGGCUUAACCUGGGAAUGGCGAUGGAGACUGCGAGGCUAGAGUUUGGCAGAGGGGGGUAGAAUUCCACGUGUAGCAGUGAAAUGCGUAGAGAUGUGGAGGAACACCGAUGGCGAAGGCAGCCCCCUGGGUCAAAACUGACGCUCAUGCACGAAAGCGUGGGGAGCAAACAGG
rnacentral:rRNA from 1 species